CCAGGAGCUCCUUGUGCUUGGACGAGAACUGGAAGACGCCGGCGCCCGGUUCCACCCACCACACGCAGUCGCGCAUGUCCCCGCGCGUCAGCAGCCCCAGCAGGAACUGAACACCAGGAGAUGGAGCUGCUGCCGCCCAUUUUACAGAUGGGAAACCGAGAGCCAGGCACCAAGAAUCAGAGAUCCUCUGAAACCUGCAAGGCCCGCACCUGCCCACUCCAAGCCCUGAGGGAGAUUCCGACUUACCUUUUCAAACUCGAGCCGGAUCGGCGGGGGAAAGUGGCCUGACACCCAGUCUGCGGCCUCCCGCCCCAGAGCCAUCGCCUCGGCCACAGAGGAGACACCAAAUCGGCACAUGACUGAGUCAGUGUCACCAUAUACCACCUGGGGAGGGGUGUGUGUGAUGGGGAGGCAGGGGGAGAAGGGGGCCAAGCCCCUGCACUCCCCCAACCAGCCCUGGGCCCAUCCCUGGACAGCAGGUGGGGUGGCCUCUGACCUUGGCGUGGGCGCCAUAGCCAUUCUCCACCGUGUACUUGGACUCCACCAGCUGCUUUGUUCUCUCAAUCAUCUGGCGCCCGAACCCAGUGACACUCUGUCAGGGAGAGAACCAGGCAGUGAGGGCCCGGGAGCCAUCCACAGUGAACACAGGCUCAGGGUGCCAUCCGCGACCUCCUGGGGGCUCGGACGAGUGACUCCACCCCUCUGAGCCUUGAUUUCCGAAUCUACAAAAUGGGGCUACUAAGCUGCUCCUUAGGUCUGUUGGAAAGAACUGGCUCCCUGGCCCAGAGCUCUGGGCACAGAAGAGGAAUGACUGCAAAAAAAGGCAUGUUGGCAAGGCCGAGGCCAGAAGAGGCCAUCAGCACCCUGUUUCCCUCCACAGAGAUGCCCUGCAUGUGGUGACCCUGCAGGCAGCUCUCCAUGGUGCAGGACCACUGGCACUCCUGGCCCCCUCCCUGAAAGCCAGCAGUGAUACCCCCACAUCCUUGGGCAGCCGGAAAUGACCUUACUUGCUGUUAAAUGCCCCCCAGGGUCGAGAGUUGUGCUAGCCUCGUGGAGAAACUUUCCAACAGUCUUACUUUACAGGAAACUGAAGCUGGGGCAGUGGGGAGCCAGGGGGCACACACCAAGGAGAAAUGGGUGUGACUCUUCUGUUUUGGUUUGUUUGGACCCAGUCAGAAGACCUCUGUCUUUUAACUAGAGCAUUUAGGUGACUUACAUUUAGUGUAAUUAUUGAUCAUAUCUGGGCUUAAAUCUACCACUUUAC